rnacentral:lncRNA from 1 species
AAAGUACCAAGGUACUAAGCAUCUCCAACAAUAGCCUUUCCCUUGUCUUUCCAUCAUUUAUCAUAUUCUGAACAAAAAGUUGUGAACUUUGACUAAGAGCGUUAUGCAGUUAGGGAUGGGUGACAAUGAUAUUUCAAUUUGUUUUUGAUAAAAGUUUUCCAGCAUUCAUAUAUUUCUUCAUCUUUAGGUUGGAAGAACUUGAGAUUUUAAAAUGGAGGACACAGAAGUAACCAAAACUGAGACAUUUGUCUGUUCAUGCGCAGGACUCUGGAUGUUAAGUGUUAAAAUUCUGAAUUUGAAUUCUUGUAUAUUUCUGCUAUAUUCAUGCUGGAAUGUUGGCCAUCAUUCCUUGGGAAAUACAGGAACUGAGUUCUUUCACACCCUGGAAAAUGUGAGUUCCUAAUUAUCUUUAGACUGAAUGAACUGAGUUUUCCUAUACUUAUGACAUCUGCCUUCCAAGAUCUAGAGAAACUACUGAAACAAUUCAUUUACUUCCUUGUAGAACUCUGUCCCUAUAUCUUGUGAAAAUGUUCAUUAAUUUGUGUCAAGAUGUGUGCAACCUGUAUGAUAGAUCCAACUGUGAUAAGUUAUCUAAAUCUUCCACCUUGUUUAUUUUUUAAAAUAGUCCAUAGAAAAUUCCCAAAUGCAUGAAUGUAGAGAUUUAGCUAAACUUCAUUCUAGAAUGUUUUUUUUUAAUUUCUAUCAAAGGAGAUUAGAAAAAUAACUUUGAAGGCGACAACACCUAUAAUAAUCCAGUCAGUAGCAUCUUUCUGGCUUGGAUAGGAUUGUAAUCCAGAACAGCAACAUUUCCCAUCUGUUUUCCAAAGGAGCAGCUCCAAAAUGAGGCUGCCAUCCUAUGGAAACUUAGCCGGGAGUAUCUAUACCAGGGAACACAGUGGGACUGAUAUCCACUCAAACAUGAAGAGGAUUGGGUUGUAGGAGUUUGAAUUUGUGUAUGCUUCACUUCUCAGAAGACCCAGCCAAGAUGGGCAGCGGGAAGAGACUGUGGGAUCUGUAGUCCAAAACACCUGGAGAGCUACAGGUUCCCCACCCCUGUUACAGAAGUGAGCUCCUGGAUCUUACGCUUGGUGACACUGCAUCAGAUCUGAAGAUACUGUUGCAAUAUUUCCUGAGAAAAGUGUACAUUAAAUUCAGCAAGAUUUACUGAGGGGGUCAAGUGGCUGGCAGUGAGUAACUAUUGAGAUUCCUCAAUGUGCAUACUAUGAAAAAGCCAGCCUGUGGGGCCUUGGGCAGGCUGGAGAGUCACAGGACUUAAUUGUUUUAUCUUUUUAUUGUAUUUUAAUUGUUCUAAACUGCCCAGAGACCUUUGGGUAGAGUGGGCGGCAUAGAAGUUAAAUAAAAAAAUAAAUAAAUUUCUGAGUAUUCUCUAC